rnacentral:ncRNA from 1 species
UUUAGGUUUUAUUCUUGCUUAAGAAUUUAUUUAAUCUAAGUUGUACAUGUAAAUUUUUGUGUUUUAUUGCUUUAAGAGUAGGGUGAUGCAGUAUUUAAUUUUAUAAAUUAAGGAGAUUUAGAUUUAGUUAUGGAUUGUUUUGUUGGUAAAAUUCGUGCCAGCUACCGCGGUUAUACGAUGGAUGAAAAUAAAUUUUAUUUGUUUGAAGUUAAUUGUAGUUGGUGAAGUAAUUAAUGAAUUAUUUGAAGGUGAAAUUUUUAUUUUAUAUUGUUUCUAAUUUUGAGGCUUUGAAAUUUGUUAAUAAACUAGGAUUAGAUACCCUAUUAUUUUAAAUGUAAAAGUAAAGGCGUGAGUAGUAAUAGAUAAGAUCUUGAAACUCAGAGAAUUUGGCGGUGUUUUAGUCUAUUCAGAGGAAUCUGUUCUAUAAUUGAUAAUUCACGAUUGGGUGUACUUAACUUAUAGGAUUUGUAUACCGCCGUCAUCAGAAUAUUUUUGUAGAAUAAUUUCUUAAUACUGGAAUAAGUAUAAUGUCAGGUCAAGGUGCAGUUAAUGGUUAAGGAGAAAUGGAUUACAAUAAAAUUAUUUAUAUGGAUUUGAAUGUUGAAUGAUUCAAUGAAGGUGGAUUUGAUAGUAAUUUUUGAUUAAAUUCAGUGAUGAUUUUGGCUCUAGAACAUGCACACAUCGCCCGUCGCUCUCUCUGACUCUGAGAGAUAAGUCGUAACAAAGUAGGUGUACUGGAAAGUGUAUCUAGAAUGUC